GGGAGGGUUAGCCACCCAGGAUAACCGAGGGUAGGGAGAGUUAGCCACCCAGGAUAACCCAGGGUAGGGAGAGUUAGCCACCCAGGAUAACCCAAGAAAGUCAGUGGGUCAUCGAGGACUGUCUGUCUUACAUAUUUCCAUUGUGGUCCUUCAAUCUUGUCCCGCAGGAUGCCACCCACACUGGUCACUUACUGCUAGGUGAACAGUGACAGCAGGUGUAAGGUGACUAACACCCAGGUACCUACUUACUGCUAGGUGAACAGUGACAGCAGGUGUCUUAAGGAAACACAACCUACUGUUUUCACCCGUGCCGCGAAUCAACCUCCCGGACCUCAGUGUGUGAGCUGAGAAAUUCACAGUAUUUUGUGUUUUCAGAACAUCCGGUUGCUGGACUAUGAGCGUAUGUGUGACAGGCAAGGCCAGCGUGUGGUGGCGUUCGGCAAGUAUACUGGAGUUGCUGGCAUGAUCAACAUUCUUAAUGGACUUGGUCUUUGUCUCCUAAUACUUGGGCAUCACACACCCUUCAUGGAUGCGACCCACACCAGUUGGAUUACUGGGUGAAGGCUCAAACUUCCAUCACUAACUGGUUAUAAACCAUGCCAUGUUUAUUUCUCCUGGGUGACUUGGUUAUUUUCUUCCUGUGAGCAGCGACCAACAAGAUUUACUCUUGUGAGGCGAGACGUCGCUAUCACUUGGCUCGUAAAGACAGUGGACAGUAGGAUGCUGUCGAAUAUGAAGAACAUACUGAGAGAUGCAUCUCUGUCUUUGCUCACAAGGUCUCUGUAUUAAAAAGACUGCUGCACAGUUUUGAACUUCAGAUGACCAAUUGCUGGAUAAUCAAUGAUGUAUUUAUUUAGCCACACAGUUGUGUGCAUGAUAAUGUGUAUAAAUGUGAAGGAUGAGGAUCUUCCCAAUAUAUUAAGCUUUACUGGCAUCAACAUGACACUAUAUCUCUGAAUUCAUAUAGGUAACGAAUAACAGUAUAUUUAUGCCUUUCUCAUAAUUCAGUGUUAUAUAAUUGUACAAUCAGUGCCAUUUUGUGAUGUUGUGCUUGUGAGGUCACCAAGGGAGACCUAACUCCAGUAAAUUGUCACACACCUUGCCUUGGCAAAUAGUUGUCAGACAUGCCUCUUGGCUUAAGUCAGGUUUUUUAUUCUUGAACUGGUGUCAGGUUGUAACAUGUGGUCUAUGCCUUGUGGGGAAGGGGGGUGCUUUAAGGACCAUAUAAGCUCAAGGAAACAGCUAGAGAGGGAGGUUGGUGACAGGUCUGGUGAAUGGGAGCCCUGGACAGCUGUGUGUGUAGUGGACCACGCAUUGCGAAUCUUGGGUCAGCUGGUCGGUGAAUUAAGAGUGAGUACAAGUCUGUGUUACUGAUAACAUCUCCCUUCCCUGGUAAUAAGUCUCAUAGGUCAGUUGUGUAAUUUUCCAUCAGGAUAUGUUGUAUUCUCGCUCUUUAUGUUAUUAAGUAAACUAUAGCCAUAGUU